AACGAACGCUGGCGGCAGGCCUAACACAUGUAAGUCGAGCGAACCCUUCGGGGUUAGCGGCGGACGGGUGAGUAACGCGUGGGAACGUGCCCUUUGCUACGGAAUAGCCCCGGGAAACUGGGAGUAAUACCGUAUGUGCCCUUCGGGGAAAGAUUAUCGGCAAAGGAUCGGCCCGCGUUGGAUUAGGUAGUUGGUGGGGUAAUGGCCUACCAAGCCGACGAUCCAUAGCUGGUUUGAGAGGAUGAUCAGCCACACUGGGACUGAGACACGGCCCAGACUCCUACGGGAGGCAGCAGUGGGGAAUCUUAGACAAUGGGCGCAAGCCUGAUCUAGCCAUGCCGCGUGAUCGAUGAAGGCCUUAGGGUUGUAAAGAUCUUUCAGUGGGGAAGAUAAUGACUGUACCCACAGAAGAAGCCCCGGCUAACUCCGUG
rnacentral:rRNA from 1 species